CCUACGGGAGGCAGCAGUGAGGAAUAUUGGUCAAUGGGCGAGAGCCUGAACCAGCCAAGUCGCGUGAGGGAGUAAUGCCCUAUGGGUUGUAAACCUCUUUUGUCGGGGAGCAAAAGCCGGACGUGUCCGGCUGUGAGAGUACCCGAAGAAAAAGCAUCGGCUAACUCCGUGCCAGCAGCCGCGGUAAUACGGAGGUUGCGAGCGUUAUCCGGAUUUAUUGGGGUUAAAGGGUGCGCAGGCGGAUUUUUAAGUCAGCGGUCAAAUCGUGGGGCUCAACCCCAUCCAGCCGUUGAAACUGGGGAUCUAGAGUGUGCGAGAGGUAUGCGGAAUGCGUGGUGUAGCGGUGAAAUGCAUAGAUAUCACGCAGAACCCCGAUUGCGAAGGCAGCAUACCGGUGCACAACUGACGCUCAGGCACGAAAGCGUGGGUAUCGAACAGGAUUAGAUACCCGAGUAGUC
rnacentral:rRNA from 1 species